rnacentral:piRNA from 1 species
UUCAGGACCCAAAGUAUAGAGCUGACUGUU